rnacentral:rRNA from 1 species
GACGAACGCUGGCGGCGUGCUUAACACAUGCGAGUCGAACGGAAAGGCCCUGCUUUUGUGGGGUGCUCGAGUGGCGAACGGGUGAGUAACACGUGAGUAACCUGCCCUUGACUUUGGGAUAACUUCAGGAAACUGGGGCUAAUACCGGAUAGGAGCUCCUGCUGCAUGGUGGGGGUUGGAAAGUUUCGGCGGUUGGGGAUGGACUCGCGGCUUAUCAGCUUGUUGGUGGGGUAGUGGCUUACCAAGGCUUUGACGGGUAGCCGGCCUGAGAGGGUGACCGGCCACAUUGGGACUGAGCUACGGCCCAGACUCCUACGCGAGGCAGCAGUGGGGAAUAUUGCACAAUGGGCGGAAGCCUGAUGCAGCACCGCCGCGUGCGGGAUGACGGCCUUCGGGUUGUAAACCGCUUUCGCCUGUGACGAAGCGUGAGUGACGGUAAUGGGUAAAGAAGCACCGGCUAACUACGUG